UAACAAGGAUUCCCCUAGUAACGGCGAGCGAAGCGGGAAGAGCUCAAAUUUGAAAGCUGGCGUCUUCGGCGUCCGCGUUGUAAUCUCGAGACGUGUUUUCCGUGCGGCUCUAUGGACAAGUCCCUUGGAACAGGGCAUCGUAGAGGGUGAAAAUCCCGUACUUGCCAUGGAAGUACCGUGCUUUGUGAUACACGCUCCAAGAGUCGAGUAGUUUGGGAUUGCUGCUCAAAGUGGGUGGUAGACUCCAUCUAAAGCUAAUUAUCGGGCAGAGACCGAUAGCGAACAAGUACCGUGAGGGAAAGAUGAAAAGCACUUUGGAAAGAGAGUUAAAAGUACGUGAAUUUGUCGAAAGGGAAGCACUUGAAGUCAGCCAUGCUGCUUGAGACUCAGCCUGGCUUUUGCUUGGUGUAUUUCUCGGUAGCAAGCCAGCAUUGGUUUGUGUCGUCGGAGAAGCGUAUGGGGAAUGUGGCAUCCUCGGAUGUGUUAUAGCCCUGUGCAGGAUACGACGACGUAGACCAAGGAACGCAGUGUGCCCUCUGGGCGGGUCUUCGGACACCUUCACACUUAGGAUGCUGGCGUAAU
rnacentral:rRNA from 1 species